AUUGAACGCUAGCGGGAUGCUUUACACAUGCAAGUCGAACGAGUGGCGGACGGGUGAGUAAUAUAUCGGAACGUGCCCAGUCGCGGGGGAUAACUACUCGACAGCGUGGCUACUACCGCAUACUCUUGGAGCGGCCGAUAUCUGGUGAGCUAGUUGGUGGGGUAAAGGCUAACGAAGGCAACGAUCCGUAGCUGGUUUGAGAGGACGACCAGCCACAGUGGGACUGAGACACGGCCCAGACUCCUACGGGAGGCAGCAGUGGGGAAUGUUGGACAAUGGGGGAAACCCUGAUCCAGCCAUCCCGCGUGUAUGAGAAGGCCUUCGGGUUGUAAAGUACUUUUGGCAGAGAAGCGGUAUCUGCAGAAUAAGCACCGGCUAACUACGUGCCAGCAGCCGCGGUAAUUC
rnacentral:rRNA from 1 species